rnacentral:rRNA from 1 species
UGCCAGCCGCCGCGGUAAUACGUAGGUGGCAAGCGUUGUCCGGAUUUACUGGGCGUAAAGAGCGCGCAGGCGGCCAGGUCAGUCGAAUGUGAAAGCCCCCGGCUCAACUGGGGAAGGUCGUUCGAUACUGCUUGGCUCGAAGAUGGGAGAGGGAAGUGGAAUUUCAGGUGUAGUGGUGAAAUGCGUAGAUAUCUGAAGGAACACCAGUGGCGAAGGCGACUUUCUGGCCCAUUCUUGACGCUGAGGCGCGAAAGCUAGGGGACCGAACGGGAUUAGAUA